rnacentral:misc_RNA from 1 species
AACAUCGCGCACCUGCGGGAACCUGCGGAGGGAUCAUUACCGAGUUUACAACUCCCAAACCCCUGUGAACAUACCUAUACGUUGCCUCGGCGGAUCAGCCCGCGCCCCGUAAAACGGGACGGCCCGCCCGAGGACCCCUAAACUCUGUUUUUAGUGGAACUUCUGAGUAAAACAAACAAAUAAAUCAAAACUUUCAACAAUGGAUCU